AUGGUUAAGGGAGUGCCCUUGAGUGGUAUCCCAGUUGGGCGACUUAAGGUUCUCGGUGACCCUGCUGUGCUCCACCUCCAGUACUGCCCACGGCCCAUCAGCUUCCCAGGCUUUGUGCCCAACUCUGCAGUGCUGCAGCAGAUGUGGCUGCCCAUGGAGGUCAGCUGCCUUGGAUCCCUGGCCCAGCUUGCCUCCCUGAACAGACUCAAAGCAAGAGGCAGGGAUGGGGUGGGGUGGGGUUCAGGGAGGGCUCACUGUCCCACAGCCUGCCACAUGCCCCCUUUUAUACUUCACUCUCUGCAGCCAAGUCUAAACAUGGAUAGCCUAUGGGUGUCACACCCUAGGUGGUCUACAGGCAAGUGGCAGAAGAGACUCAUCCAGUGGCUUCACAGUGAGGAAGAAGAGGAAGAGGAGGAGGACAAAGAAUUGCUGGAGGUGGACUUGUCCUCGGCUUCCCUAAGCCCAGAUAACCUGCACUCACAGCAGCAGCUAGAUUCCUGGGAGCCAAAGGCUUGGAACUCCACAGACUUGACCACAGAGCACUGGUGCUCCCAUGAGGCUUCAGGGAGUAGGACCAACCUUGGCCCAAAGUACUACUAUAUGGAAUCCCUCUGGGAAGAGCAAUAUGGGCAUCUUCCCAGGUUCCUGCAUUUUUUUGUUGUCCAGAACUGGUUCAAAAAGCUGUUCCUCAUCUUCAGCCUGGAGGUUUGGAGGAGGCUUGGAAGCUUGGAAACAGGGUGGGGUGGUGGGUGGGGAGAAGGGAGGAGCCCACCUGGUACAGGACAGGGGCAGGGCCUCAGCACACUAUCCCACAGGCCUACCCGGAGAUGGGCACUGUGGAAGGCCUGGCCUCAAUGUUCGUGGACCUGCUAGCAGAGGCCACCUGGGCAGACGGUGUGCAUAUCCUGCAAGCACUGCUGAGGCUGAUGCCCAAGGUCAGCAAAGAGCUCCAGGGACGGCUACAGGGCAGUCUCCUGAAGUUGCUGAACCUGGACCAGCCUCCUACCCUUGAG
rnacentral:lncRNA from 1 species